UAUUUCCCACCCAGAUAAUUAUUAGAAAUAAACUAAAAACUAACAUACCCAAAUCAAAAAUUAAACUCAUGUAUAGGACCACAAAAGCUAUCUUAGAAGCCAUAAUUUUUCCAAAAAAAAUACUUUCAAUCAAUGUAAAAAGGAUUGAAUAAAAUGACAUUCCAUCAAUGUAAAAGAAAAAAAAAUACCUAUACAAUGCCAAGCUAUAUAUUAGUUCCGAUGAAAUACCGCAAAUGAAAACAAAGCCAGACUUUUACGACAAUUAAAGGGAAACAGAAAAAACCAAAACACAUAAAUCAAUGUCGUCGCAUUCAGUUAAACUGUUUUCCUUUUUCUUUUCGUUCUAUUCUCAUUUCACGCAUUUUCUCGGGAACCAAACAGAUUUACGCACCACUGAAAUGAAA
rnacentral:misc_RNA from 1 species